rnacentral:rRNA from 1 species
AUUGAACGCUGGCGGCAGGCCUAACACAUGCAAGUCGAGCGAGCGGCGGACGGGUGAGUAAUGUAUGGGGACUGCCCGAUAGAGGGGGAUAACUACUGGAAACGGUAGCUAAUACCGCAUACUAUCGGAUAACCCAGAUGGGAUUAGCUAGUAGGUGUGGUAAGGGCUCACCUAGGCGACGAUCCCUAGCUGGUCUGAGAGGAUGAUGAGCCACACUCGAACUGAGACACGGCCCAGACUCCUACGGAGGCAGGGUUGGGGAAUAUUGCACAUGGGGCGCAAGCCUGAUGCAGCCAUGCCGCGUGGAUGAAGAAGGCCCUAGGGUUGUAAGGUACUUUCAUUCGGGAGGCGUUACCUAAAGAAGAAGCACCGGCUAACUCCGUGCCAGCAGCCGCGGUAAUAC